UUCGGGGUACUCGAGUGGCGAACGGGUGAGUAACACGUGGGCAAUCUGCCCUGCACACCGGGAUAAGCCUGGGAAACUGGGUCUAAUACCGGAUAGGACCACUUGGCGCAUGCCUUGUGGUGGAAAGCUUUUGCGGUGUGGGAUGGGCCCGCGGCCUAUCAGCUUGUUGGUGGGGUGACGGCCUACCAAGGCGACGACGGGUAGCCGGCCUGAGAGGGUGUCCGGCCACACUGGGACUGAGAUACGGCCCAGACUCCUACGGGAGGCAGCAGUGGGGAAUAUUGCACAAUGGGCGCAAGCCUGAUGCAGCGACGCCGCGUGGGGGAUGACGGCCUUCGGGUUGUAAACCUCUUUUCACCAUCGACGAAGGUCCGGGUUUUCUCGGAUUGACGGUAGGUGGAGAAGAAGCACCGGCCAACUACGUGCCAGCAGCCGCGGUAAUACGUAAGGGUGCGAGCGUUGUCCGGAAUUACUGGGCGUAAAGAGCUCGUAGGUGGUUUGUCGCGUUGUUCGUGAAAUCUCACGGCUUAACUGUGAGCGUGCGGGCGAUACGGGCAGACUAGAGUACUGCAGGGGAGACUGGAAUUCCUGGUGUAGCGGUGGAAUGCGCAGAUAUCAGGAGGAACACCGGUGGCGAAGGCGGGUCUCUGGGCAGUAACUGACGCUGAGGAGCGAAAGCGUGGGGAGCGAACAGGAUUAGAUACCCUGGUAGUCCACGCCGUAAACGGUGGGUACUAGGUGUGGGUUUCCUUCCUUGGGAUCCGUGCCGUAGCUAACGCAUUAAGUACCCCGCCUGGGGAGUACGGCCGCAAGGCUAAAACUCAAAGGAAUUGACGGGGGCCCGCACAAGCGGCGGAGCAUGUGGAUUAAUUCGAUGCAACGCGAARAACCUUACCUGGGUUUGACAUGCACAGGACGCGUCUAGAGAUAAGCGUUCCCUUGUGGCCUGUGUUGCAGGUGGUGCAUGGCUGUCGUCAGCUCGUGUCGUGAGAUGUUGGGUUAAGUCCCGCAACGAGCGCAACCCUUGUCUCAUGUUGCCAGCGGGUAAUGCCGGGGACUCGUGAGAGACUGCCGGGGUCAACUCGGAGGAAGGUGGGGAUGACGUCAAGUCAUCAUGCCCCUUAUGUCCAGGGCUUCACACAUGCUACAAUGGCCGGUACAAAGGGCUGCGAUGCCGCGAGGUUAAGCGAAUCCUUUUAAAGCCGGUCUCAGUUCGGAUCGGGGUCUGCAACUCGACCCCGUGAAGUCGGAGUCGCUAGUAAUCGCAGAUCAGCAACGCUGCGGUGAAUACGUUCCCGGGCCUUGUACACACCGCCCGUCACGUCAUGAAAGUCGGUAACACCCGAAGCCAGUGG
rnacentral:rRNA from 1 species